rnacentral:lncRNA from 1 species
GGAGACAUACACAGAGGCACGGAGCAAGAAGCUGCUGAGGAGGUGGACCCGGGAUUCCAGACCGCGCUGGACUCACAUGUACUCUGAGGUCUUUGAAAGAAGUUGUUCUUAGGCCGUUGCUUUGGGUUUCUGGAGAAACAGAUCCUGGAGGAGAAACUAAGGCCGGCGGCUGGGACUGCACUGGGCACCCUUGGCUCCUUGGGCACUUGUGUCCUAUUUGUCAAAAUUGG